rnacentral:rRNA from 1 species
UUUUUGAAAAUAAUUUAAAGUCUAAUCUGCCCACUGAUGAAAAUUAAAGGGCUGCAGUAUAUUGACUGUACAAAGGUAGCAUAAUCAUUAGUCUUUUAAUUGAAGACUUGUAUGAAAGAUUUAAUGAAAUAUAAACUGUCUCUUAUUUAAAAAUAGAAUUUAAUUUUUUAGUUAAAAAGCUAAAAUAAAUUUAAAAGACGAGAAGACCCUAUAGAGUUUUAUAAUUAAAUUAUUUAAGAUUUUUUAUAUAAUUUAUAGUUAAAAAUAAUUUAAUUAUUAUAUUGGGGUGAUAAAAAAAUUAAAAUAACUUUUUUUUUAUAAUAACAUAAAUAAGUGAAAAGUUGAUCCAUUAAUAAUGAUUAAAAGAAAAAAUUACCUUAGGGAUAACAGCGUAAUUUUUUUUUUUAGUACAAAUAAAAAAAAGAGAUUGCGACCUCGAUGUUGGAUUAAGAUAAAAUUUAGAUGCAAAAGUUUAAAAUUUUGAUCUGUUCGAUCAUUAAAAUCUUACAUGAUCUGA